UCUUCUUAUAUCCAGGUGGGUGGGGUUAAUAAUUCCAUGUAUGAUGGUAAAACCUGGUAUAGAGCAAACAUAUCUCAUUCUAUAAUGCCCAAAGAUGUGAAGAACAUCUGUAUUUCAUCAAUAUGUACUAUUUAAAACUACUUUUUCAACAUACCAGACAGAUGCCAGUUCCAUUUAAAUUACCUAUUUGCCAAGGUGGAGAGUUGAGUGUUGUUCCAGGUAGGAACCUCCACAUCACAGGACAAGAGAAUGGUUGAGGUUGGAAGGGACUCUGGAUGUUGUCUGGUCCAACUCCUCCAGCCCCUCCGCUUGAGCAGAGCCAUCCAGAGCGGCACACCCAGGAUAUACCCCAUAUAUCCCUGUGUUUCUCAGAGCAAGGUGAGGAAGCUUCAGGUACUAUGAAGCUUCUAUGAGAUCUAUAGUUGUAAGUGUGGGAAAUUUGAGGAAAGAAGACAUAUGCUUCAUUGUUGCUAAUGUUCAGCCUCCUGGUUUGAUAUUAAUAUUCUCAACUCAGUGGUAGUUCUGAUGACAUCGAUAGCUUUCGGUAGAUAAAUUCUUUGCAUAUCUGAAAAUCAAAUGAUGUCCUGUGAUGUUUCUCUUCAGUUGUUAUCUCACCAGAACUGUUGAUGUUGUAGGCUUAUUAUCAUAAUCUUGCAUAAACUGGGUGGGGGGAUUAAUGGAAUAAAUCAGAAACUUACUUCUCUGUAGAAGACUUGAAGUAGGUGAAUGGCUGCUUGUACACAUGAACACAUUUUCCUUAUGAAAUAUUUAUAGUAGCACUAUCAUUUACUAAAAAUGAUUAGCUGAGUACCUGUCAUGAAUUUAAAUGUGGUUUCCUUGAGGCUUAUCAGAAGCCUAGAGGUGAUAGGCUGUUUCUGGUGUUUUGUUCUGAGAGGAGACAGAAGUGCUAUAGCCACAGCAAAUGUAAACCUGGCAGAUGCCGGAGACAAGGGGGAAGGAAGUACAUUAAGUGCUUAAAGUUGGGUAGUGUAAAUAUCCUUUUCCCUCUCCCCAUGCAGUCAAAAUUCCAAAUACUCAGACGGACAGAUAAAGCCAAGAGGGAGCUCUUUGUUUCUUUAUGCAAAGGAAGGACAUAUUUUGGAAGGCUCUUAAACUCCAAGUGAGGAGCAUUACUAUAUCAAAAGCAGCCAUAUCUAAGUUUUAAUAUAUACUGCUAACAGCAAAAUUUUAGCAACUUGUAUUUUGGUGUUGUUGGUUAGCCUCACCGCCCUGUGGUUCCGAGUGCUGGUGCUGCAGCUGAAACCCGUGUCAGGGUGCUUCACCACAGCCGUGCUGUGGGUGGCUACAAUAGACAACAACAGGGUUCCAGUGCUUUCCUGAUAUGAGUUCAUUUAAAUAUUCACUUCUGUGCAUUACUGUUUAAGUAGCCAGGUUAUGCUUAAAGUGUUAAACUGUUAAACAGGUUUCUCAGAACAAUGUUCUGUUGCUCAUUUGUCAAAUUAAGCGUGUUGAUCAUGACCUUUACAAGGGAGGAGCUGACUUUAACUAUACUAUUCCUAACGCAUUAAACCUACAUUGUCUACUGGUGCAGAAACUUUAGCCACUGAUGUAUUUUUUUUUUUUUUCAUCAGACCAAAAUGCCAUCAAAGACUUAUUUUGCUGCUAUACAAUAGUUAUUCUAUUUUGAAACUGAUGCAGACUGAAACAUCUUUGGAGCCAUACCAAAUCCCAUUUAAUUUGCAUAAAUGUUUUCUGUUUUCCAAAGAGCACAUGUGAAAAUCCUACUAAUAAAUGAAAUGUGGAGAAGUAUUUGGCAUCAGCUAUACUUCAGUAAUAUAUCCCCUAGCAGAAAUGGAUAAAUGUUUCCUUUUUAUAUUUAAAUUAUUUUAAAGUAGAGUUUUCACAUGGAUUGCCUACACUUCAGACAAAGUACUUCCAAACAAAAAAUUGUCUUGGGGGAAGAAGAGAGUCUUUAUAAGCUUUCAUACUUCAAUGUUAAUGCAAAACAGUGCUAAAUAAGUGGUUAUAAUAAAUGUAAUUUCUUUAUCAUAUACAUACACUACAGUUAAAUGCAAUGUUCAAAAUUUUGCACAGCCAAAAUUCCACUCAAAUUCAUUGAAGCCAAGUGAACCACUGUAGUGAAGUUUGUGCAGCACAUUCUCAUGACAAGCUACACUGUUUUCCUCAUUGACAUCUACUUUACAUGCCUAUAUUCAGGUGAAAAAGGUUAUCCACCAAAAUUAACCUUAUCCAAGGGAGCUGAAGUUUCCUCAAGUAUGUUUCUAAUCUUCAGUUCCAGGUAAUUAUAUCAAGUUCUCCAUCACCAGGUAAGCUUGAUUCUGGAAACUUUGCUAAAGCUCUGUCCUAUUUGCAGGAGGCACCUGAAUACAUGUUACAUACAGCUGAUUCUGGUGCACAAGAUUGUCUCUUAAGUGAAAAAAAAAAGAUGAAUUAUAAGUUGUGUUACAUUAAAAGUGAGGAAGAUAGAGGGCUUUACCGCCAAAAAUCUAAGGAAUUGCCUAUUUCUCUGUCAGGUGUUGUAGCUCUCAGUUGCACUUAGCUCACCUUCUGUUAAGUCUGUGUAAACACUUUACUUUCCAGUGGAGCCUGCAUUUCUCAUUACUGCAGUGUUAGCAUUGUUAGCUUUUAUUUGCUGUCCCUUAAACUAAAUUUGAGUUUAACUGACUUUGUCUAGACUGCAGCCUGUUCUUUAUGAUUACUAUGUUAGUAUUAUAAAGAUUGGUUCUAGAGAAGAUUUAAAAAAAUAAAUAAAUUUUGGGGGGACAUGUAAAAAAGGUCUAAUUACCAGCAGCAGUCUGAAAUGUAAGAACUGUAAACAAUAACUGGAAAUAGUAGAUUACACAUAUAUUUACAAACAAGAAAAAAGUCUUAAAAUUGACUCUAUGCUGCUCCUUAGGUCAAUUACCCGUGUGGGACUGCUUGUAUGAAUUAAUUAAAUAUCAGUGCUGAGGGCCAUAACAAUUGCAUGUUAAUGACAGACAAUAGCAAAGCUUUGUCCUUCAGCAUCCACACUUAUUACAGAGUUUCUUAAACCUUAAUGUUGGUAGGAAUGGUGUAUCUCUGUUUACCAGGCGCUAGUUUUUAUUGAAUAAUUGAUAAAUCAAAGCUGUUAAUUCUGUAGUUGAUUUGAAUAAAUAAUGUAAUAUUUAGUUCAGCACCACCUUAGGGCUGAAUUUGUAUGAUUUCUGUUUUGGUAGAACUCUACAGGGAGUCAGAUCAAUACAAUUCCCUUUGUUCCCUUUUGGGAACAUAAAUUUGCUCUUUUACUGCAUAGUUUAGUCUUCCUUCCAGGUAGAUGUAAAUUAUUUCAGAAUAAACAAGUCUGUGCUUAGUGUAUGAUUGCACAGUCAUCUCAGUCAUUCAAGUGCAACAGUCUCUGUGCAAAGAAAACCUAUCUACAAUUUUAAAAAUAACUAAAUAAAUGGAAAACUUCAACUUUUGGGGAGUAAUCUUUACCUGUGUAUUAUCCUUAUGUUUUGUCUUUGUAUAUUUUUAAAUGAAAUCCUAAUAAAUUCUGGGUAGCAUUUUGAAUUUGAAAUUCCAGAAAUAAUGAACUGGUAUAGAUUGAUUGUUGCAUCUAGCCAAAAUAAAUAUAUUUCACAACACAGCACAGAAGUAAAUGCAAAAUAAGAUGUGUACAGGAAUCUCAUGUGUACAGUGAAGUGUUAUGUAAUCAUAAAAUCAUUAUGAAAACAAAAUAAUUAAAGCAUUGUGCUAUCCUUUAUAAAAGAUUUUUCUAAUGGAAGCCAGGUAAUACAUUUCCAUGUGAAAUAAAAUGCACCAGGCAUUCUCAGUAGUGGAAAAAACUGCAAAUCACUUGCAAAUUGGCAAGGUGUUUCAGUAAACAGAAAAGGUCUGAAAUAGUAUAGUUAACUAGUGUGCACUGGAGCCACCUGCAAGCUCUUCCAAAGGAAAUUCCAAUUCUUAAAAAGAGUUCCAGCGAAAGGCAGGAGGGCAUGAGUCAAGUGAAAUUAAUGAAAAGAAGCGCUGUGUGUACUCUCCCAGCCAUUUCCACCUACAGUCAAAAACAUGUCAAGACAUUUGAAAGUUCUUGCUGUAAUUUUCAGUACAGUCCCUUCUAAAAAGAAGUACAAGCACACCCACCUCAAAAUUUUCACUGUUUUGAGAUCCCAUCAUAGCAUCCAACAGCCAAAAUCUUGAAGGCUUUAUGCAGCUUUCAAUAAGUGUGACAGGAUUACCACAUGGGCAGAAAGUUAAAAACCUAUAAUCAACAUUCACGGUAGAGGUAAUGAUUAAGCCAUAUUCUUUCCAGCUGAUGGAGAAAUCUGGAUUCAAUAUCAGGAGAGAAAAGUUGAACAUUUAAGACCAGGCAUGGCCCUUGUUAGACGGCAUUGCAGCAGCAGAGGUCAGCCAGGGAGGUGGAUGAAAUCCCAUGGAGGACAUUUCUCUCACUUGGCAUCUAGAGAGCUGGUGUAGUGCUGAGACUAAAACAUGUGGGUAUGAUCAUAAGAGGACAACUCAGGAAAAAAAAAAAA